ACGGCGUGGAGCUGCUGCUGGAGCUGGAACGCCGCGGCCUGUGCGACGAGACCAACUUCCGGCACCUGCUGCAGCUGCUCCGCGUGCUCACGCGCCACGACCUGCUGCCCUACGCCACGCUCAAGCGGCAGCGCACAGGUACCGCCCGGCGCGGCCGGAUUCGGGGGAAAAGGGGGGAGGCAGCGGCCGCGCCGGCUCAUCCCGUCCCGCUCACGUCCUCACUCCCUUUUUCCCCGCAGUGUCCCCGGAAAGGUACACGUACGGCCCCUCGGUGGCCGCCUCCGACCGCCGCGUGGACACUUGCCUCAAUUCCGCCGCCGCCGAACCCCGCCACGAGCACUGGGAGACGGGUUCCACCUCGGGCAAGCGGAAGCGGGUGAGCAGAGGCCGGACGAGGGCCGGGACGCUCGGCCGGCGCCGGGGGGCCGCGGCGGCUCCCGCCCCCCAGCCCGAAGCCCCCGGCUCCGCCAAAGUGACCUGCGACAUCCGGCUGCGCGUGCGGGCCGAGUACUGCGAGCACGAGGCGGCGCUGCGGCAGAACGUGGCGUCGAACCGGGCGCAGCGCCUGGCGCGGCAGCUCGACCUCUUCGGCCAGGCGAGCACGGUGCUGAAGUCGCGCGACCUGGGCUCCAUCAUCUGCGACAUCAAGUUCUCGGAGCUCUCCUACCUCGACGCCUUCUGGAGCGACUACCUCAACGGCUCCCUGCUGGAGGCCCUCAAGGGCGUCUUCCUCACGGACUCGCUCAAGGAGGCCGUGGGCCGCGAGGCCAUCCGGCUCCUCGUCAACGUCGACGAGGACGACUACGAGGAGGGCCGCCGCCUGCUGCUCGACGCCCUCGGCGCCCCCUGAGCAGCCGCCUUCCCGGCGCUUCCUUCCGGCAGCACCGUGCUGCCCGCAGCCUUCCCGGCGUUUCCGGUGAGGACGAUGGUGCCCAGAGGCUUCCCGGCGCCUCCGGUGAGGACGAUGGUGCCCAGAGGCUUCCCGGCGCCUCCGGUGAGGACGAUGGUGCCCAGCGGCUCCAGGCGCCUCCCAGCAGCUCCCAGCAGCUCCGGUGAGGACGGCGGCUCCUGGUGCAUCCGGUGAGGACCGUGGUGCCCGGAGGCUUCCCGGYGCCUCCCGGUGCCUCCAGUGAGGACACUGGUGCCCGGUGGCUUCCUGGUGCCUCCCAGCAGCUCCCGGCACCUCCCAUGAGGACACUGGUGCCUAGUGGCUUCCCGGCACCUCCGGCCCCGGCAGCUCCCGGUGUGUCCGGUGAGGAUGGCAGCUCCCUGCACCUCCGGCAAGGCUGGGCGGCUCCCGGCGCGUCCGGCCCUGGUGGUGCCCCACUCCCUGUGUGUCCAGCAUCCGGCUGCUGGCGCUUCCCGGUGUGUCCAGCACCUGGUUCCUCACACAUCCAGCCCCGGCGGGUCCCAGCGGCUCCCGGUGCAUCCGGCGAAGAUGGCAGCUCCUGGUGCAUCCGGCGAGGCUGGUGGUUCCCAGCGUGCCCAGCCCUGGCGGUGCCCCAUUCCCUACGUGUCUGGUGCCCAGCUGCUGGCGCUUCCCGGUGCAUCCGGCUCCCGGCACAUCCAGCCCCGGUAGCACCCGGUUCCCUGCGUUCCCGGUGCCCGGCUGCUGGUGUUUCCCGGUGUGUCCAGCACCCGAUUCCCCGCGCAUCCAGCCCCGGCGGGUCCCGACGCGUC
rnacentral:lncRNA from 1 species